rnacentral:rRNA from 1 species
UACGGAGGGUGCAAGCGUUGUUCGGAAUCAUUGGGCGUAAAGCGCGUGUAGGCGGCUUGGCAAGUCGGUUGUGAAAGCCCGGGGCCCAACCCCGGAAUUGCAUCUGAAACUGCCUGGCUAGAGUCCCGGAGAGGAAGGCAGAAUUCCCGGUGUAGGGGUGAAAUCCGUAGAUAUCGGGAGGAAUACCAGCGGCGAAGGCGGCCUUCUGGACGGUGACUGACGCUGAGACGCGAAAGCGUGGGGAGCAAACAGG